GAUCCUGGCUCAGGAUGAACGCUAGCUACAGGCUUAACACAUGCAAGUCGAGGGGAAACGAUAUUGGAAGCUUGCUUCCGAUAGGCGUUCGACCGGCGCACGGGUGAGUAACGCGUAUCCAACCUGCCCAUCACUUGGGAAUAACCUUGCGAAAGUAAGACUAAUGCCAAUGACAUUUAUAGAAGGCGAUCUGAAAUAGAAUUAAAGAAUUUAUCGGUGGAUGGAGUGGGAGUGCGU
rnacentral:rRNA from 1 species